AGUGAACGCUGGCGGUAGGCCUAACACAUGCAAGUCGAACGGCAGCACAGUAAGAGCUUGCUCUUACGGGUGGCGAGUGGCGGACGGGUGAGGAAUACAUCGGACUCUACUUUUUCGUGGGGGAUAACGUAGGGAAACUUACGCUAAUACCGCAUACGACCUACGGGUGAAAGCAGGGGAUCUUCGGACCUUGCGCGAUUGAAUGAGCCGAUGUCGGAUUAGCUAGUUGGCGGGGUAAAGGCCCACCAAGGCGACGAUCCGUAGCGGGUCUGAGAGGAUGAUAAGCCACACUGGAACUGAGACACGGUCCAGACUCCUAAGGGAGGCAGCAGUGGGGAAUAUUGGACAAUGGGCGCAAGCCUGAUCCAGCCAUACCGCGUGGGUGAAGAAGGCCUUCGGGUUGUAAAGACCUUUUGUUGGGAAAGAAAAGCAGCAGGUUAAUACCCCGCUGUUCUGACGGUACCCAAAGAAUAAGCACCGGCUAACUUCGUG
rnacentral:rRNA from 1 species